ACGCUCGACACCUACGGAAGGCAGCAGUGGGGAAUAUUGGGGCAAUGGGGCGCAAGCCUGACCCAGCAACGCCGCGUGAAGGAAGAAGGCUUUCGGGUUGUAAACUUCUUUUGUCAGGGGAAGAGCAGAAGCGGUACCUGACGAAUAAGCCACGGCUGACUACGUACCAGCAGCCGCGGUAAUCUGAGGCGGGCUGGCAAGGCNNNNNA
rnacentral:rRNA from 1 species